UAAAAACCUGUAGAAAUGAGUAGAAUAAAACUUUCUUUUGCACGAACACUGAAGAUGGAGUUGUGCUCCCCUUCUUUCACAAUUGGUGCCCCGUGUGAGGAUCACCAAUCCUGACCACGACGUUUGAAAGCUGCGCAAGUACCGGGACUGGGAAGUCCAGAUGAAAGUGCCUGCCGUAUAGAAACACCAAACGCAUCUGAGUUAAGGUAGCUUUAUGGUUGGAACUUUCCCUGUUUGCCCAGUGGAAACCUGGAGCCCACCGUCCUGCUUCCCAGAAGACCAAUGAUGCUGUAACAACUGUACAAAGAAGAUACCUCCCAAAGCUGACUCUGGUGCGGAUGGACCAGCCUAAGAAGAUGUGGCACCUAUUCCCAAAUCCCCCAUGAUAUCCCUAUGUAUAAGUUUUAUGUCACUAUACCAAAUUGUAAUCAUAAUAAAAAGGGGGGAGAUGCGGAGACACGGAAGGUCCCCUGGCUCGAUAGAUUAUACAUAGGGUCCAUUUCCCAAAAUCUGGAAGCCUGAAGGCGGGCUCUAGA